rnacentral:rRNA from 1 species
AUUGAACGCUGGCGGCAGGCCUAACACAUGCAAGUCGAGCGGUUGAGGUAGCUUGCUACCGAUGCAGCGGCGGACGGGUGAGUAAUACAUGGGAAUCUGCCUGGUAGUGGGGGACAACGUUUCGAAAGGAACGCUAAUACCGCAUACGCACUACGGGGGAAAGGGGGGGAUCUUCGGACCUCUCGCUAUCAGAUGAACCCAUGUCGGAGUAGCUUGUUGGUGAGGUAAAGGCUCACCAAGGCGACGAUCCGUAACUGGUCUGAGAGGAUGAUCAGUCACACUGGAACUGAGACACGGUCCAGACUCCUACGGGAGGCAGCAGUGGGGAAUAUUGACAAUGGGCGCAAGCCUGAUCCAGCCAUGCCGCGUGUGUGAAGAAGGCCUUAGGGUUGUAAAGCACUUUCAGUGGGGAGAAAGGUUAUUCACCUAAUACGUGAGUAAAUUGAUGUUACCCACAGAAGAAGCACCGGCUAACUCCGUGCCAGCAGCCGCCGCAG